rnacentral:rRNA from 1 species
AACGUAGGUACCGAGCGUUAUCCGGAUUUACUGGGCGUAAAGCGUGUUCAGGCGGUCAGGCAAGUCGGGCAUGAAAUCUCUCGGCUCAACCGGGAGAGGUUGUCCGAUACUGCCAGACUGGAGGGCAGUAGAGGGUGGUGGAAUUCCGGGUGUAGUGGUGAAAUGCGUAGAGAUCCGGAGGAACACCAGUGGCGAAAGCGGCCACCUGGACUGUACCUGACGCUCAAACACGAAAGCUAGGGGAGCGAACGGG